rnacentral:rRNA from 1 species
CAGGAUGAACGCUAGCGACAGGCUUAACACAUGCAAGUCGAGGGGCAGCGGGGGCGAAGCUUGCUUCGCCUGCCGGCGACCGGCGCACGGGUGAGUAACACGUAUGCGACCUGCCCCCCGCAGGGGGAUAACCGGGAGAAAUCCCGACUAAUACCGCGUAACGCCGCUGGGCUGCAUGGCCCGGCGGCCAAAGGAAGCGAUUCCGGCGGGGGAUGGGCAUGCGGCGCAUUAGCUAGUCGGCGGGGUAACGGCCCACCGAGGCGACGAUGCGUAGGGGUUCUGAGAGGAAGGUCCCCCACACUGGUACUGAGACACGGACCAGACUCCUACGGGAGGCAGCAGUGAGGAAUAUUGGUCAAUGGGCGGGAGCCUGAACCAGCCAAGUCGCGUGAGGGAAGACGGUCCUACGGAUUGUAAACCUCUUUUGCCGGGGAGCAACGGGGUCCUUGCGAGGGCCCGAUGAGAGUACCCGGAGAAAAAGCAUCGGCUAACUCCGUGCCAGCAGCCGCGGUAAUACGGAGGAUGCGAGCGUUAUCCGGAUUUAUUGGGUUUAAAGGGUGCGUAGGCGGGCUGUUAAGUCAGCGGUCAAAUGUCGGGGCUCAACCCCGGCCUGCCGUUGAAACUGGCGGCCUCGAGUGGGCGAGAAGUAUGCGGAAUGCGUGGUGUAGCGGUGAAAUGCAUAGAUAUCACGCAGAACUCCGAUUGCGAAGGCAGCAUACCGGCGCCCGACUGACGCUGAGGCACGAAAGCGUGGGUAUCGAACAGGAUUAGAUACCCUGGUAGUCCACGCAGUAAACGAUGAAUGCUAGCUGUCCGGUUCUACGGGACUGGGUGGCACAGCGAAAGCGUUAAGCAUUCCACCUGGGGAGUACGCCGGCAACGGUGAAACUCAAAGGAAUUGACGGGGGCCCGCACAAGCGGAGGAACAUGUGGUUUAAUUCGAUGAUACGCGAGGAACCUUACCCGGGCUCAAACGCCAAAGGACAGCCGUUGAAAGGCGGCCUCCCUCCGGGGUCUUUGGCGAGGUGCUGCAUGGUUGUCGUCAGCUCGUGCCGUGAGGUGUCGGCUUAAGUGCCAUAACGAGCGCAACCCCCAUCGACAGUUGCUAACGGGUAGAGCCGAGGACUCUGUCGAGACUGCCGGCGCAAGCUGCGAGGAAGGCGGGGAUGACGUCAAAUCAGCACGGCCCUUACGUCCGGGGCGACACACGUGUUACAAUGGCCGGUACAGCGGGAUGCCAGGGCGCGAGCCCGAGCGGAACCCGAAAACCGGUCUCAGUUCGGAUUGGAGUCUGCAACCCGACUCCAUGAAGCUGGAUUCGAUAGUAAUCGCGCAUCAGCCACGGCGCGGUGAAUAC